GGUCUUUUUCACUCUCACUCUCUCGAGAUCUCAAACAAUUUUGAUCGGUUUCUUCCGCCAUGAUCCGUUGAAACACGUCGCCGUCGGCGAGAAUGGAAGGAAUCUAACGUCUCCGGCGAAGAUGCCUUCGCCGUGAUCUGCAACAAGUACGACCGAUACGGCAUCGACAAGUAGAAGGACUCUAAUGUCUCCGGCGACGAUGCCUUCACUCGCCUCUACUCUGCCGUCGAGUUCGACAUUGAAGCUGCUCUUCAGAAAGCGGAGCUUGCUUCAAAAGAGAAAAGUAGGGCAUUUGCAGUUGCUCUGAAUGCCGUGAUUCGCCGAACCAAGGCUCGAUUGCUUAAAGAGGUUCCCAAGUUGCAGAGAUUGGCUGUAAAGAAGGUUAAAGGGCUUUCAUCUGAAGAGUUUGCUGCUCGUAAUGAGUUGGUUGUAAGGCUUGUUUACAGAAAAAGACAUAACUGGAAGAAACCACAGUUUUGCUUGGGAAAAAAAAAAAAAGCCUAUGUAGAAUUGAAUUGAUUGACAACAGGUCAAUCUGUUUCCCCUCUUAAAAAUGAUGCCUAUUGGAAACAAUCUUGUAAAUUGAAAUGUAAAGGCCGUCUUCAAUGGAUUUUUGUGUCAUUCUUUACUUCCCAUUCAGUUUUGAGCAUUUCUAUGUGCUAAGAUUAAGGUUGGUGUAGUUUAGUUGGAAUGAAGUUGGAAGCAAGCAGAUUUUUGAGCUUGUGUGUUUGGUCUAUGAGUGAGUAUUGUUUCCCUUCAUAUUGUUGAAUAAGGGACCUCACUUAUUCUGAGCAAAAAUUAUUGAACCAGGAAGGAAUGAAGAAUUAAAACUGGACUCCUGUAAUUAAUAAUGGAAGAUGUUUGAACCAUCUAUAUGGUGUAAAAUCUUGUAAAUACUGUAGAAAAUGCUUGAAGGUAUAAGUAGAGCCUUGUUCAUCAACCCAAUGGGUUGUGGAUGGCUGAUUCAUAGAAGAAAGGUACGGGCAUGGCAAAUGAUAUGUAUUUUGUCACAUUUCGUCCGUCAAGAUAUAAGAGAUAAUACGUGUGCUUGAACCCUUGCCCACGGAUCGAGAAACACAAUGGCAAAUUCUUCGGGAGUUACAAGGAGCUGUUGAGUCUGUAGAGAGCUUAAGAGGUGAUUUAUCCAUGUUUUGGUCCAGCCACUUUGUUUAAUUAGUCAUUUGUCUUCUCUAAACAUGGGAUAAUUUUUUCCCUUCAGUUUAUAGAUUUGACUCACUCUUCAAAUUUAUGACAUAAUUGGCAUAAAACCAGGUGCAACUGUGGAGCCAUUUGGAUCAUUUGUCUCAGAACUCUUUACUCGCUGGGGAGACUUGGAUGUUUCAAUUGAGUUCUCAAAAGGCGCAUAUAUUUCUUCUUAUGGAAGAAAGCACACACAAGAUGUACUAAAAGAUUUUAUGAAGGCUAUGAGAAAGAGAGGUGGAUGGAACAGUCAAUAACCUGAAGGGCCAAAUGAAAUCAAAACUCUUUUUAUGGAUGAAUGAUAUAGAUCCACGCUUUCGUGAUAUGGUUUUACUGGUGAAGGAAUGGGCAAAACACACAAUAUCAAUAAUUCAAAAACUGGGACUUUCAAUUCAUACUCUCUGAGUUUGCUCGUGAUCUUCCAUUUUUAGACAUGUACACCUGCAAUUCUGCCUCCUCUUCAAGACAUAUAUACAGAAACUCUCACGGAUGAUCUUAAAGAUAUGGUACUGGUUCUUUGUUUGAAAUAAUGGAGUUUAAGUUAGCUCUACACAGCAUCAAAGCAAAGGAACUCCCUUUUACGAAGCAAAGAUAUGAGGAAGAAAACUAUAGUUUCAAUCUUUCAAUUGCCAAGUGUCCUUUUUUCAACUCGAGAGCAUGUUAAUUGCUUGAGCGGUGAUAUGUAACAGUUUAGGUAUCCAAUGAAUGAAGUUUAGUUCCAUUUUGAGUUGUAAAAAAAGGUUGUUCUUGUUUAAAGUUGUGUUUAGAAUUCAAAAACAACUUCAUUUAUUAAGAUUUGAAGCCACUAAUAGAAUCUGCCCAUACAAGUUGCCC
rnacentral:lncRNA from 1 species